GCCGACCUCCAUUUUUCGUUUGCUGACGGCAACGCUGCGCAUUUUGCAGACGGCAGUUCUUUGGCGCCAUGGGAUGGCUUGCCACUAUGUUCAGGCACGGGGCGUGUAGUUGCAGUACGUACGAGUCGCGUUUUAACUUUUUUCUUUGUGUGUGUGUGGACUAUACCUGGACUUGUGGAGCUGUGUGCCGGGAACUGCGUCGCCUGGAAUUCAUCGAGGACCGCUGCGAGCUUCGUCGUCGGCAUCGUAAUUGGAGCGCUGACGUACUGACACGCCCCGUGCCACUCCGGCUUAUCUUUCGCACUAUCGCCGACGGAAGUCUUCAUGGCGGACGUCCUCCCGGCAUUGGAUCGAGAGCGCCGACUGUCUUCACACACCCCUUGGGCCACAACGGCAGAUCUCCCUGGCGGAUAUCCUCCCGGCACAACCUC